CUAAAUCUUGUGCCCGAGAUUUGCUUAGGAAGAGAAAACAAUUCACUCAUGAAAACACGGAAUCAUGACCACUCAAUUGCAUGCGCAAACAAGAUAAUCAUAUAGCACACCCUCACUCAUAUGUAGGUGCAAACAAUGCAAUCAAAUAGUACACUGCUGCACAGCCAGCAUCAGGAAAACAUACUACUGGACUAACAUAUACUCUGAUGGCGGUUAACGAGAUACGGGCAAGGGGUUCCCGAGAAAAUCUUCCCGAUCGGGGAAACACAUUCUACUUCUCCUAGAAGGAGUCUGGAGAACGUGUCCCCUUUUUGUCUGACAACAACCGCCCACCAAUGGAAAAUAUGGGAAAAAAUUCCAAUAGAAGGAGUGUGGAAUUUAUCCACCCAUUGAUGGAUCAACACCCUUUGCGAAGACCUGAAGGACAAGGGAUGGUUACACUAGGUCUGCUCUAUACUGGGCUACGAGGCAACAUGAUUACCUUUGUGGGGUUGUAUCUAGAAUUUCUGAAUGAAUCCCAAUGGGUAUUCAUGGGGAGGACUGGCUCACCGUAGCACACUUGGUGAGAAGUGCUAGGCGCGGUCAUGGUUGGUCUCGCUAGGUACCUCGUUUAGGGACACACCGUAUGACACUGGUGUGUCUUGGUUCAUCGGUAUGGAAACUCGGGUAUCAACUCCCAAGUGACACAUCACUCUGUUAGCUAGCUUGGUGGCUGGGUGGUCACGCCCAAAAAUUUAUUCAAAGGCCGCACGGACUGCUCUACACAAUUCUACCUUUAAAAACAAAGGCGUGCACGCAUCCUGCAAUUUUAUUUAAAACAGGGUCUAUUACAAC
rnacentral:lncRNA from 1 species